rnacentral:rRNA from 1 species
AUUGAACGCUGGCGGCAUGCCUUACACAUGCAAGUCGAACGGUAACAGGUCUUCGGAUGCUGACGAGUGGCGAACGGGUGAGUAAUACAUCGGAACGUGCCCGAUCGUGGGGGAUAACGAAGCGAAAGCUUUGCUAAUACCGCAUAAGAUCUAAGGAUGAAAGCAGGGGACCGCAAGGCCUUGCGCGAACGGAGCGGCCGAUGGCAGAUUAGGUAGUUGGUGGGAUAAAAGCUUACCAAGCCGACGAUCUGUAGCUGGUCUGAGAGGACGACCGGCCACACUGGGACUGAGACACGGCCCAGACUCCUACGGGAGGCAGCAGGGGGGAAUUUUGGACAAUGGCGAAAGCCUGAUCCAGCCAUGCCGCGUGCAGGAUGAAGGCCUUCGGGUUGUAAACUGCUUUUGUACGGAACGAAAAGACUCUUUCUAAUAAAGAGGGUCCAUGACGGUACCGUAAGAAUAAGCACCGGCUAACUACGUGCCAGCCGCCGCAGUAA